CCAGAAUGGUUUCAGGGCACGUUAUAGCACAGUUACUAAAGAACAAAUUCAAAACAUGCGCAAGUUUCUCAGAUUUAGAACACAAAAGAUCAAUUUCAGACCGAGAAUUACUUAUCCAAGGAUCAACACUUUUAUCAAAGAAGGUGUUUUAAAUCAGAAUGCUUUCAAGGCAUGAAAUAUCAUAAGACAUUUUCAAAACGUGCCUAACAUGAUCAUAAUUAGAAUACAAAAGUUCAAGAUCAGAUUUCAAAACAGAAUCACAACAAAAAUCGGUUUUAGCUCUAAGUGAAUUCUGUUCCAGCAAAGUCUUAACCAUAAAUUUGUCCAAGGCACAAGUGGAUGCAAACAAGCUACCAGUCAUCAGUGAAUAUCUAUAACAACUCAAAUUAAAGCUAU
rnacentral:lncRNA from 1 species